AACGAACGCUGGCGGCAGGCCUAACACAUGCAAGUCGAGCGCCCCGCAAGGGGAGCGGCGGACGGGUGAGUAACGCGUGGGAACGUGCCCUUUGCUACGGAAUAGCCCCGGGAAACUGGGAGUAAUACCGUAUAAGCCCUACGGGGGAAAGAUUUAUCGGCAAAGGAUCGGCCCGCGUUGGAUUAGGUAGUUGGUGGGGUAAUGGCCUACCAAGCCGACGAUCCAUAGCUGGUUUGAGAGGAUGAUCAGCUACACUGGGACUGAGACACGGCCCAGACUCCUACGGGAGGCAGCAGUGGGGAAUCUUAGACAAUGGGCGCAAGCCUGAUCUAGCCAUGCCGCGUGAGCGAUGAAGGCCUUAGGGUUGUAAAGCUCUUUCGUGGGGGAAGAUAAUGACUGUACCCCAAGAAGAAGCCCCGGCUAACUCCGUGCCAGCAGCCGCCGUAAGAC
rnacentral:rRNA from 1 species